rnacentral:rRNA from 1 species
UACGUAGGGCGCAAGCGUUGUCCGGAAUUAUUGGGCGUAAAGAGCUCGUAGGCGGCCUGUCGCGUCCGCUGUGAAAUCCCGGGGCUUAACCCCGGGCGUGCAGUGGAUACGGGCUGGCUAGAGGCAGGCAGGGGAGAACGGAAUUCCCGGUGUAGCGGUGAAAUGCGCAGAUAUCGGGAGGAACACCAAUGGCGAAGGCAGCACUCUGGGACGUGACUGACGCUGAGACGCGAAAGCGUGGGGAGCAAACAGG